rnacentral:rRNA from 1 species
UACAGAGGGUGCAAGCGUUAAUCGGAAUUACUGGGCGUAAAGGGUGCGUAGGUGGUUGCAUAAGUUGGGUGUGAGAGUCCUGGGCUUAACCUGGGGAUUGCGCCCAAUACUGUGUAGCUAGAGUACUGUAGAGGAAGGUGGAAUUUCCAGUGUAGCGGUGAAAUGCGUAGAUAUUGGAAGGAACAUCAGUGGCGAAGGCGACUUUCUGGACAGAUACUGACACUGAGGCACGAAAGCGUGGGGAGCAAACAGG